rnacentral:rRNA from 1 species
GAUGAACGCUGGCGGCGUGCCUAAUACAUGCAAGUCGAGCGAACAGACGAGGAGCUUGCUCCUCUGACGUUAGCGGCGGACGGGUGAGUAACACGUGGAUAACCUACCUAUAAGACUGGGAUAACUUCGGGAAACCGGAGCUAAUACCGGAUAACAUGUUGAACCGCAUGGUUUAACAGUGAAAGACGGUCUUGCUGUCACUUAUAGAUGGAUCCGCGCCGCAUUAGCUAGUUGGUAAGGUAACGGCUUACCAAGGCAACGAUGCGUAGCCGACCUGAGAGGGUGAUCGGCCACACUGGAACUGAGACACGGUCCAGACUCCUACGGGAGGCAGCAGUAGGGAAUCUUCCGGAAUGGGCGAAAGCCUGACGGAGCAACGCCGCGUGAGUGAAGAAGGUCUUCGGAUCGUAAAACUCUGUUAUUAGGGAAGAACAAAUGUUUAAGUAACUAUGCACGUCUUGACGGUACCUAAUCAGAAAGCCACGGCUAACUACGUG